GAUUUUCUCCAUUGUUGCUGAUAAUUAGAGUUUUUUUAUUCAUAAUAAGUGAUAAAACACCAAGGUGAACAUAAGUAUAAUACAAAAUAUCCGGCCAUAAGUUGUGAUCUGUUUAAAACUCCGUAUUAGACAAAAUUGAUAUAAAAACCCCAUAUUUUUUAUAAAGUUUAAAUUAGAUCAUUCAAAAUUUCUAUUAAUUCCAUAACCACCCUCCCAUGGUUUUUUAUUCUUCUUUGUCGUCUCCCCCUCUUUUUGUUUCAUUUCUUUUUUCCACCGCCUCCUCUUCUCCGACCAUUAACAGCAUCUCUUCUUCUUCCUUCCUCACCACCACCAAAUCAACGACAUUCUCCGUCCCUUUCUUUUUUUCCCACCACCAACAGUAGCACCUCAUCCUUCUACUUUUUACCAACGUAAAUAAAAUACAGAUCGAGAAUGCGAAUCAGGGAAAAGAAAAAGGUAGAUUGGUAAUUGGGUUGUACGGCCAGACUUUCCCCAAAUUAGUUGUCGCGUUGGCAUCGGUAGUGGUGGCGGCGUUGAGGAUGUCGGUUGGCGGAGGCGAUGGGGAUGCUGGUGUUGGUGGUGGUGGUUGCGGUGCUAACAAAGGAUGUAAAACCUCAUUGAGAAAAUAUGGUGAGAAAAGAUGGAGAAAUUUAAGAGGAAAAUAAAAUGCAACAAGGAAUGCAUGGCAGGUGAAAUUUUUAUCUAACCCCUCAUUAUAUUUAUCGUUUGUCAUCCAAACAUAGAAAGUAACACGGUGCAGGACACUUUACAUAUAUAACAACAGUAAAAUCUUCUCCAUUUUUAUAUCUUUUUUUGUGAUUAUUUUAAAAUGAUGAUAAGUUGCAGAAUAUGUAUGUUGAAUUAUCUGGCGGAAACCAAUUAUGGUUUCAUCUAAUUUUUGCUAAUUUUUUUCGGCGAAACCAAUUCGUUGGUGAUGCAAUAAUAUUUUUUUUUGUUGAAACCAGUUUUGGUUUCAUCUAAUAUGUACUUUUAUGUCGACGAAACCAAUCUUGUUGGUGAUAUUGUAAUUUAUGUUGAAACGAGUUUUGGUUGCUUUUAAUUUUGAAUUUCAUUGCUUCUACUUGGUGGCGGUGGGCGGCAAUGGGGGU